rnacentral:rRNA from 1 species
AUGCUGCUACUUUCUGUAUGGAGCUGGGAGCGUCUGCCUGUUGGACGCCCGAAGAGCGUCAGGUUUAAUCCUUGGUAUGAAGAUGAACAUGACGAAUUAUGGCGCCCCACCUGGGCUUACAAGUGGGAUGUGGUUUCCGAGAUGACGAACGAUGUCAAUCUCAUGUACCAGAAGUACGUUGCCGAGUUGGACACGAUUACGCCUGAGCAGGUAACGAGGUCAUUACUUCAGUCAUUUCUCAUGUUUGCCAGAAAAAAAGUCACCAAUUUUGUAUUGUUGCCCUAUUUCAUAGGUGGAAUUGCAGCCAUAUGGCGCGGAUGA